rnacentral:rRNA from 1 species
ACUCCUACGGGAGGCAGCAGUGGGGAAUAUUGCACAAUGGGCGCAAGCCUGAUGCAGCCAUGCCGCGUGUGUGAAGAAGGCCUUCGGGUUGUAAAGCACUUUCAGUCGUGAGGAAGGUAGUGUAGUUAAUAGCUGCAUUAUUUGUACGUUAGCGACAGAAGAAGCACCGGCUAACUCCGUGCCAGCAGCCGCGGUAAUACGGAGGGUGCGAGCGUUAAUCGGAAUUACUGGGCGUAAAGCGCAUGCAGGUGGUUGUUAAGUCAGAUGUGAAAGCCCGGGGCUCAACCUCGGAAUAGCAUUUGAAACUGGCAGACUAGAGUACUGUAGAGGGGGUAGAAUUUCAGGUGUAGCGGUGAAAUGCGUAGAGAUCUGAAGGAAUACCGGUGGCGAAGCGGCCCCUGGACAGAUACUGACACUCAGAUGCGAAAGCGUGGGAGC